UUCGGCGCGUGGCCUUCUCGACCUCCGCCUCUUUCUCUCUUAACCUUCUCGCUACCGAUUCCUCUACUGCAUCCAGAAGUGCACGGUAGUGUCUCUGUCUUUUAUCUGCCAAGCGGUUGAUUCUGUUGAUGAUUACCGGAGGACAAUCGGAGACCGGUGGAGACGACAUUGUUUUGGUGAUUGUGAAGCUUGGCGAGAUCAACAAGAAGAGGAGGACGAGGCUGCUGUAUCGCAGAGAGAUCGAUUGGAGUCGCGAAGGUUGCUGUGGAAGUCGCCAUUUCUCUUCCUCUCUUCCGAGAAUUGUUUCCUGCUUUCAUCACAAACCGGACUGAUGAAUCGAAUCCUCAAAGGUACGUCGUCUUCACAACUCAAUUGAUAGAAAUACUUUCAGCGUUUAUAAACAGAAUAGAUCAAACACAAUGCACAAAAAUCUCACCUAUAUUGUUGUUGAACACCAUAUGAGUCUGGUCAAGAAAACCUCCUGGUUGUAUCUGCAAUGAAUAAUCAUGCGCUUCUUGACCAUUUCUAAAACAAACCAAAAUCCAAAAUCCAAAAUCCAAAAUCCAAAACCAUUAGGAAUCAACAGUAAGUAGAGAAAUAGAGAUUAGAGGCAAAAGAGAACGGGUAUACCUAUUUAAGAGCAAAACAUUUGAAGGAUAUUGAGCUUGAACAGCCAUGGAGAAAGGAGGAAUUGUUUGAAGAAAUUGGGCGUGUUUAUGGAGAUUGGGAAUGAAGGAUGAUGAUAGAUAGCAAUAAUAAUAACAAUAAUGAAAGGUAGCAUAAGAGAAGCAUGAAAGACAAGGAAGAUGCUCAAGUGUUUAGACUAGACGAACUGUUGAAUAGGAGAGAGAGAAAGAUAAUGAAUUCAUGUCCUAAUCUUCACCAUUCUUGCCUUCCUCACCAUCUUUUUCACCUACUUUUUCUUCCUGGUUUGGUUUUAUGAUGCUUUCCUUUACCUGUAAAACAACAAAAUUUGUUUUUAUUUUGAAUGGUAAUUACAAAUCUCUUCCUUUUUCUCCCUCCUCUGGUUACGUGUGAUAUAUAUAGGGAUGGGGAAAUAAAGAAAGGUAAAGAUAGAGAGAGAGAGAGAGAGAGAGAUGCGAUUGAAAGGAAUCAGUCCAACAUAGACACGCCCUGUUGCCCUUAUUAUUCUUCUCUUCUCGUGGGGUUGGAAUUGGAAUUGGAAUUGGUAUUGGUAUUACCUUUUCUCGAGAGAUUACUAUCUUUCAUCAUUUUUUAAAAAAUCCUUUUAUUUUAUGUUUUUUAAACUUUCCCAUCUGUCCAAACUGAUUUUCAUGUUUAUUUUUCUCCCUAUUUUUCCUCGCCAAAAUAGAUUGAUUAACAAGUAAUGAAUGAAGAGGGAAAAAAAAAAAACAGUGGUUGUGCGCGUGCACUAGUGUGCUUCUUUUCCCAUCUCCACCCGCUAGACUCAAUUCGGUUUUAAAGUGAAGGUUCUAGCUCGAUUCAAGACUAAGUUUAGCAAGUUUGAUGCACUAUUUAGGUUUGAAUUGGAUAGACUCGACCUUGGAUAGCCAUGUGCAUGUCCCAUCUUUAAACUUGAAUCAUUUGAUCCUAGUUUGGGUCGAGUCUAGGCUACCUCAUUGUUUUAACCUAUUCAAUAUUAAUUAUUUAUUUAAAUAUAUUUAUCCUACGUGAUAAUCAUAAUUAUUGAUUUUACACAUACAAAAUAUCAUUUAGUAUUUUGUUUUAAAGAUUUUAUAUUAACUAAAAUCUAUAACAUCUAUAUUACAAAGCUAUAUACACAUACAUAUUUUGGGUUGGCUCAAUGAUAAAUAUCUUGGACUAGCUUGGUGGACCGAUUCAAAUACGAUGUAAACGGGUUGACACAUGGACUUGCAUAAUCUUUAAAUAACGCUCUAUACCUAAUCCAAUGAAUUGAGUUGGUUGGGUUGGGCUACGUAUCUAGUCUAAUAAAUAAAUGAAUUGGGUUGGGUCGGGCGGGUCAAACUUUGAUUUUGGACUGAUUUUGGACCGAGUAUGAGCUGAAUUUGAGUGACCUUAGGCUAUAGGCUCGUUGGUGAGGCUGAGUUGUUUACAAAUAGGCCAUAGUCUUUCUCGAGUGGGACAAUAACUUGACAAAACUAUGCAAACCACU